UGAGGAAUUUUGCGCAAUGGGAGCAAUCCUGACGCAGCAACGCCGCGUGGGUGAUGAAGGCCUUCGGGUCGUAAAGCCCUGUCAGGUGGGAAGAAUGUCCCGGGACUGAACAGGUUCCGGGAGUGACGGUACCACCAGAGGAAGCACCGGCUAACUCCGUGCCAGCAGCCGCGGUAAUACGGAGGGUGCAAGCGUUAUUCGGAAUUACUGGGCGUAAAGCGCGUGUAGGCGGUCCCGCAAGUCUGAUGUGAAAGCCCCGGGCUUAACCCGGGAAGUGCAUUGGGAACGGUGGGACUUGAGUACUGGGGAGGAUGGGGGAAUUCCCGGUGUAGAGGUGAAAUUCGUAGAGAUCGGGAGGAAUAUCAGUGGCGAAGGCGCCCAUCUGGACGGUAACUGACGCUGAGACGCGAAAGCGUGGGGAGCAAACA
rnacentral:rRNA from 1 species